rnacentral:rRNA from 1 species
CAGGCUUAACACAUGCAAGUCGAGGGGCAUCAGGAAGAAAGCUUGCUUUCUUUGCUGGCGACCGGCGCACGGGUGAGUAACACGUAUCCAACCUGCCCUUUACUCGGGGAUAGCCUUUCGAAAGAAAGAUUAAUACCCGAUAGCAUAAUGAUUCCGCAUGGUUUCAUUAUUAAAGGAUUCCGGUAAAGGAUGGGGAUGCGUUCCAUUAGGUUGUUGGUGAGGUAACGGCUCACCAAGCCUUCGAUGGAUAGGGGUUCUGAGAGGAAGGUCCCCCACAUUGGAACUGAGACACGGUCCAAACUCCUACGGGAGGCAGCAGUGAGGAAUAUUGGUCAAUGGGCGCUAGCCUGAACCAGCCAAGUAGCGUGAAGGAUGAAGGCUCUAUGGGUCGUAAACUUCUUUUAUAUAAGAAUAAAGUGCAGUAUGUAUACUGUUUUGUAUGUAUUAUAUGAAUAAGGAUCGGCUAACUCCGUGCCAGCAGCCGCGGUAAUACGGAGGAUCCGAGCGUUAUCCGGAUUUAUUGGGUUUAAAGGGAGCGUAGGUGGACUGGUAAGUCAGUUGUGAAAGUUUGCGGCUCAACCGUAAAAUUGCAGUUGAUACUGUCAGUCUUGAGUACAGUAGAGGUGGGCGGAAUUCGUGGUGUAGCGGUGAAAUGCUUAGAUAUCACGAAGAACUCCGAUUGCGAAGGCAGCUCACUGGACUGCAACUGACACUGAUGCUCGAAAGUGUGGGUAUCAAACAGGAUUAGAUACCCUGGUAGUCCACACAGUAAACGAUGAAUACUCGCUGUUUGCGAUAUACAGUAAGCGGCCAAGCGAAAGCAUUAAGUAUUCCACCUGGGGAGUACGCCGGCAACGGUGAAACUCAAAGGAAUUGACGGGGGCCCGCACAAGCGGAGGAACAUGUGGUUUAAUUCGAUGAUACGCGAGGAACCUUACCCGGGCUUAAAUUGCAGUGGAAUGAUGUGGAAACAUGUCAGUGAGCAAUCACCGCUGUGAAGGUGCUGCAUGGUUGUCGUCAGCUCGUGCCGUGAGGUGUCGGCUUAAGUGCCAUAACGAGCGCAACCCUUAUCUUCAGUUACUAACAGGUCAUGCUGAGGACUCUGGAGAGACUGCCGUCGUAAGAUGUGAGGAAGGUGGGGAUGACGUCAAAUCAGCACGGCCCUUACGUCCGGGGCUACACACGUGUUACAAUGGGGGGUACAGAAGGCAGCUAGCGGGUGACCGUAUGCUAAUCCCAAAAUCCUCUCUCAGUUCGGAUCGAAGUCUGCAACCCGACUUCGUGAAGCUGGAUUCGCUAGUAAUCGCGCAUCAGCCACGGCGCGGUGAAUACGUUCCCGGGCCUUGUACACACCGCCCGUCAAGCCAUGGGAGCCGGGGGUACCUGAAGUACGUAACCGCAAGGAUCGUCCUAGGGUAAAACUGGUGACUGGGGC